UUAGGUUGGGUCAGUGGUUAGAGCGUAGGUCUCAUAAUCGAAAGGUCGCGGGAUCGAAUCUCGCUAGGGGCUGAAA
rnacentral:tRNA from 1 species